UGGAACGUAGCUCAGUUGGUAGAGCAUUCAAUCGGUCGCAGGUUCGAUUCCUGCCGCUCCACU
rnacentral:tRNA from 1 species